UUGUAAAUCUUGCUCUAUUGUCUGUCCUUUGCUUCCCUCCACUAGACUGGAGUUGAAAGUGAUGCCCAAUUCCUGCAGAACUGAAUAAACUGCUUUCUGCUCUGACGCUGAGAAAUGUCUAUUUGAAUUAUUUUGGGCAGGAGCCUAUUGAAGGAACAGCCCCAAUUGUCUUUGGACUUGAGGGGAAGAUCCUGCUGUGGGGAAGUAGGAUCCCAAAAAGAUGGACUCACUAGAGAAGAAACCAAAAGAAGCUCUGACAGACUAAUAGACAAAAAGCCUGGCUGACUGUUGAAGUUGUUAUACAAAGUCCGGGGACAUGUUUCAUGCUGCUCCAUAAAGAAAAACUCUACCUAUGAUUCUGUGUAAUAUUUUCUUCACUAAACUGCUAACUUCCUUGGCUCCAGGUAAAAUUUGAUAAGUCUUGACUAAGUUUGAAUUUAAUAAACAAAGCA